ACAACGGUAUGCCCUGAAACAAUCCUACACCCAAAGAUACACUCGAGUUUUCAUCAGUUAUACAAUUCAUCAGUUAUACAACCCCUGUGUUUCUCAAACCAAGCUUAAGUAACUACCAGUCAUACAAUCAUUGUACUCCUCAGACCAAGCUAAAAGUUCUUACUAAACUUACUGUUGCUUAGGCAAAAACUGAGUAACUAUACCAAGAUCUUUCACCUUGGACUUUUACCAAAAUAUCUAUUGCUAGGUACUAACUCUGAGUAACCAUACCAAGAUCUUUCUAAACUACUUCCUUUUCCCCGGGCUCUAUUAACAACCUAUGGUAGAAAAAGGAUCUGACUCCAAUAAAAAAUUAAAACUUAUGACUCAUACUACAUCUCCCUCCCCGAGCUUUGAAUGAACCAUUAGGGGAAAAGGAUCUUCCUUCCCAGGCUCUGAUACCACGCUACCGCAUGAUACCCUAAGGGGUCUGAUACCACUUAGCACUACCAAUCAACUCGUAGGCACAUAAGUAUCAAAGCAUAGGCUAUGAUACCAUGCAACCAAAUGAGUAUCGUGGGUGCCCAAGGACCGACUUUGAGGGAGACUUUUCGGUUAAGGGAAGAACCGUAGUACUUCUAACCAAUAGGAUUUAUAUGAUAAGAUCUAUGAGCAG
rnacentral:lncRNA from 1 species